UGAAGGUCUCACGAAGGUGCUGCUGGCUGUGCCAGCUCACAUACGUGGAUCUACUUGAGACAGUCUAUCUCUGCUGUAUGUCAAAGGCAAAAUGACAACUUGUCUCAUUAGUCUGAAUUCUGAAGGCUUUUGUGGUCACUGAGUGCUGCAGCCAGUUCUUGCUGCCAUCAGGCCACAAGUGGGGCGCAGGCUUGUGAAUGCUCAUAGCUUGCUUUUUCUUUUGACAGAAAUGGCUCAGGAAGAGAUGGAAGUUGAUCUCCAACCAGUGGUGAACUAUUCCCUGGAGAACCAGGGGAUGCUUCCUGCAGAGCCCACUGCUCACACGGCGCUGUCCUCCCAGGCUCCUGCGCUGAGCAGCGGAGGAGGCAACACUAUCGUUCUUUCCGACGACGAUGAAGUCGUUACCCUAUCGACUACUAAUGCCACAAGGGAAGCAGCUGCUGAUCCUGACCAGCAGGCGAAUCCUCCCUCAGCUCUCAUCGGGCUGCUGAGGCUGCAGGGGGCGUCUGACCAGCACCUGCUGCUGCCUGGGCCACAGAUUGUGCAGCGCCCGCGGGUACGAAGGAGUGCUCGCAGGCAGCCGAGAGUCGGUGGUUCCCAGAGGAUAGUCAGUGCCAGGGCAGCGUUGGACACAUACUUUCAGAUCAGCAGGACACAGGAGCCAGCUAGAAUACCAGGUUCACAUCUGGAGCCCUCACAUACUGUGGGGAGCAGCCAGGAGCACACAUCACAGGUCACAGAAUUGCAGUUGAGUGACUCCGACAGCAGCACUUCUGAGGAGGAGGAAGAGGUGGAGACUGCAGCACCGCUGCCUUCAGCAGCCCAGCAGACACCUGCAGCAGCUAGCUCAGUUUCCAGUCAGGAUCAAGCAGAGCUGCCUCAAACUCUGCCUCAAGUUUCUGUGGAACAUGGAAAUCGUGAGGAUGAAGAAUCUGAAGCCCAGCAAAAGCAGAGAACUCCACUGAAGAAACAGGAAGCACCAAUUCCCCAUAACUAUUACAGUUACUUGUUCUACAAAGAAACCAC
rnacentral:lncRNA from 1 species